rnacentral:rRNA from 1 species
UCGAGGGGUAGAGUGCUUCGGCACUUGAGACCGGCGCACGGGUGCGUAACGCGUGUACAAUCUACCUUUUGCUAAGGGAUAGCCCGAAGAAAUUUGGAUUAAUACCUUAUAGUAUUAUUUGGUGGCAUCAUUAAAUAAUUAAAGCUACGGUGGCAAAAGAUGAGUACGCGUCCCAUUAGCUAGUUGGAGUGGUAACGGCACACCAAGGCUACGAUGGGUAGGGGUUCUGAGAGGGAUGUCCCCCACACUGGUACUGAGACACGGACCAGACUCCUACGGGAGGCAGCAGUGAGGAAUAUUGGACAAUGGUCGGAAGACUGAUCCAGCCAUGCCGCGUGCAGGAUGACGGCCUUAUGGGUUGUAAACUGCUUUUGUAUGGGAAGAAUAAGGUCUACGUGUAGAUUGAUGACGGUACCGUACGAAUAAGCAUCGGCUAACUCCGUGCCAGCAG